rnacentral:piRNA from 1 species
UGCUAGUGAAAUGGGUGAUUCGCAUGCUG